GGGCCUGUAGCUCAUCUGGUAGAGCGCCUCAUUUGCAAUGAGGAGGCACGCGGUUCGAGUCCGCGCAGGUCCA
rnacentral:tRNA from 1 species